CAGUCGCCACGGUAAUACGGAGGGGGCUAGCGUUGUUCGGAAUUACUGGGCGUAAAGCGCACGUAGGCGGUUUUGUAAGUCAGAGGUGAAAGCCCGGAGCUCAACUCCGGAACUGCCUUUGAGACUGCAUCACUUGAACGUCGGAGAGGUGAGUGGAAUUCCGAGUGUAGCGGUGAAGUGCGUAGAGAUCGGGAGGAACAUCAGUGGCGAAGGCGGCCAUCUGGGACAACAAUGACGCUGAGGCACGAAAGCGUGGGGAGCAAACAGGAUUAGAUACCCCCGUAGUCCCUGUCUCUUAUAC
rnacentral:rRNA from 1 species